UACGAAGGGGGCUAGCGUUGCUCGGAAUCACUGGGCGUAAAGGGUGCGUAGGCGGGUCUUUAAGUCAGGGGUGAAAUCCUGGAGCUCAACUCCAGAACUGCCUUUGAUACUGAGGAUCUUGAGUUCGGGAGAGGUGAGUGGAACUGCGAGUGUAGAGGUGAAAUUCGUAGAUAUUGGGAAGAACACCGGUGGCGAAGGCGGCUCACUGGCUCGUAACUGACGCUCAUGCACGACAGCGUGGGGAUCAAACAGG
rnacentral:rRNA from 1 species